rnacentral:misc_RNA from 1 species
GAAAUGCGAUAAGUAAUGUGAAUUGCAGAAUUCCGUGAAUCAUCGAAUCUUUGAACGCACAUUGCGCCCUCUGGUAUUCCGGGGGACAUGCCUGUCCGAGCGUCAUUGCGAACCCCUCAAGCAAGGCUUGUGUGAUGGGCCCUCCCGCGUCUUGGUCGUCAAGACGGGCCCGAAAAGCAGUGGCGGCUUCGCGGUUAUCCGAUCAGCCAGAGCGUAUGGGGACUUUCUCUCUGUCACACGCCCGCGGCGCGGACCGACGCCUGUCGACCUUUAUUCAUCUUUUUCUCGGUUGACCUCGGAUCAGGUAGGGAUACCCGCUGAACUUAAGC